rnacentral:rRNA from 1 species
GUGGGGAAUUUUGGACAAUGGGCGCAAGCCUGAUCCAGCAAUGCCGCGUGCAGGAAGAAGGCCUUCGGGUUGUAAACUGCUUUUGUACGGAACGAAAAGGCUCUGGUUAAUACCUGGGGCUCAUGACGGUACCGUAAGAAUAAGCACCGGCUAACUACGUGCCAGCAGCCGCGGUAAUACGUAGGGUGCAAGCGUUAAUCGGAAUUACUGGGCGUAAAGCGUGCGCAGGCGGUUUUGUAAGACAGAGGUGAAAUCCCCGGGCUCAACCUGGGAAUUGCCGUUGUGACUGAAAGGCUGGAGUGCGGCAGAGGGGGAUGGAAUUCAGCGUGUAGCAGUGAAAUGCGUAGAUAUGCGGAGGAACACCGAUGGCGAAGGCAAUCCCCUGGGCCUGCACUGACGCUCAUGCAAGAAAGCGUGGGGAGCAAACAGGAUUAGAAACCCUAGUAGUCC